UUUUUUCCAGGUUACUGGGUGGUGGCUUGAGCUGGUUCUGUGUUGUAUUGUUGAAAAGGAACCCCUAGAUAUUGAACCCAGUCCUGGUUCCUGCCGGCUCUCACCUGGCAGAAGAGUUACAUUUGGAAAAGAAUCGGCUGCAAAUUCUGGAUCUGUACUUGGAAGAGCUGUUUGUCUCGUCCCCUGAGGAUUGCCCCUCUGACAAGUCUACAGCAAAGACAGAGAAGACAGAAGCCGUCCCUGAGCUCGAAAUGUGUCAGAGCAGGGAGAAGGAAGGCUGUGGAGUUCAGUGUGUUUGCAUGCAGUCAUAACAAGGCUCCUCGACCUCUGCUGCUGUACAUCCACAACUCGAACCCUGGCCCAACAUAUCUUCAUGGACCGUUCAAAGAGGAAGGAUUUCUGUGAUGAAGUUAUGGUCGAAGUUCUUGAGAGGGCUCACAACGGGGUCCAUUUCCAGAAGCAGAGGGGCUUAAAACCAGAGAAAUGGCAAGCUGAGAGGGAGGCUUUGCUCCAUAUCAACAUGCUGGAGUUUUGGGCCAUCCACAAUGAAUUCCGUGAAUGUAUCAGACAUUCAGUGGUUCACAUACUCACUGACAAUAUCACCACUAUGUAAACAAACAAGAGGGAGCAUACUUCAGGUUGCUCUGCCUAGAGGCAAUCUGUGGUAAUUUUGCAUCAAGGAGGACAUUACUCCGAUAGGUGUCCAUUUACCCAGAGUUCAAAAUCAUCUCAUGGACCAUCUCAGCAGGUAUUUUUCUAUGCGGCACAAGUGGUCCCUGAAGACAAGUGUCCUCCAGGUCAUCUUCACAGUGUGGGACAUUCCCAUGAUUGAUCUUUUUGCCACAAGGGAAUACAGAAAAUGUCACCUGUUCUGCUCUCAGGGGGCCCUCAACCCAGGUUCCCUGUCCGACACCUUCCACCGCAGUUGGCAGCCAACUCUUUUGUUUACCUUUUCCCCAAU